rnacentral:rRNA from 1 species
AACGAACGCUGGCGGCAUGCCUAACACAUGCAAGUCGAACGAGACCUUCGGGUCUAGUGGCGCACGGCUGCGUAACGCGUGGGAACCUGCCCUUAGGUUCGGUAUACCUCCCCGAAAGGGGUGCUAAUACCGGAUAAUGUCUUCGGACCAAAGAUUUAUCGCCUUUGGAUGGGCCCGCGUUGGAUUAGCUAGUUGGUAGGGUACAAGCCUACCAUGGAGAGGAUCCAUAGCUGGUCGGAGAGGAUGAUACUCCACACUGGGACUGAGACACGGCCCAGAAUCCUACGGGAGGGUGGAGUGGGUAAUAUUGUACAAGGGACGAAAGCCUGAUCCAGCAAUGCCGCGUGAGUGAUGAAGGGGGUAGGGUUGUAAAGCUCUUUUACCCGGGAUGAUAAUGACAGUACCGGGAGAAGAAGCACCGGCUAACUACGUG